CCGCAUGAUGGUGUGCGCGGUGCUUGGCCGCCUUCUUCGGGUGGGUGCGCGCCCACUUCCAGCGUUCGAGGCGGCGCAGGCGGCC
rnacentral:tRNA from 1 species